UACGGGGGGAGCAAGCGUUGUUCGGAUUUACUGGGCGUAAAGGGCGCGUAGGCGGCCAGCACAAGUCAGUUGUGAAAUCUCCGAGCUUAACUCGGAAAGGUCAACUGAUACUGUGCGGCUAGAGUGCGGAAGGGGCAACUGGAAUUCUUGGUGUAGCGGUGAAAUGCGCAGAUAUCAGGAGGAACACCGGUGGCGAAGGCGGUUCUCUGGGCAUGAUCUGACGCUGAGGAGCGAAAGUGUGGGGAGCGAACAGG
rnacentral:rRNA from 1 species